AGCGACCCAGCGUACUUGGCCUCGGCGGCACGAGGGGUGUAUAACGCCAUGGUUGCUGGAGAUCCACAGGCUAUUUGGUUGAUGCAGGGCUGGCUGUUUGUGUUCGGAACUUUCUGGAAGGAUCCUCAAAUCAAGGCCCUUCUUACCGCUGUGCCAAAGGGCAAGAUGAUCAUCCUGGAUCUGUACUCCGAGCAGACCCCGAUCUUCCCCCGCACCCAC